GCCGGCGGCGGGCCUGGGUCAGUGAGAAGCCCGUGGGCCCCCGCCCUGCCUGCUACUCCCAUCCCCACCUGCGCGCUCCCCAUCGGGGACGACCCCCGAUUGGGUCCGAUGCCUACCCUCGGGGUGGAGCCGGCAGGUUUUCUAUCAGAUGUUCCACGUAAUAAUGCUGGAGUUAAGAAGUUUCCAUUAUUUUGCUCCAAACCAGAAGACUCUGUUCCCUGUAUAUAGAAUAGGAGUAAUAUUUGAAAACAACUGGCUGAUGUUUAAAACUGAAGAUUGUCGUGAUUGUUUAUCCUAAUCCCAAUGCUGAAGUAAGAUUGUCUUGGAAAUACUAAGUUGGGAAAGUGAAUUCUGCAUUUAAAUUUCAGGGAACCAGUCAGAAGCAUCUGGAUUAGGCAUUUAGUGAUACAAGGAUCCAGAAUAACAAAAACUAUGUACCAGCCACAUUCACACAACAGGGUAAUCCAAAUCUACUUCUGGAACCAUGAAAAUUUUGCUAGUUUUUGACUUUGACAAUACAAUCAUAGAUGACAAUAGUGACACUUGGAUUGUACAAUGUGCUCCCAACAAAAAGCUUCCUAUUGAACUACGUGAUUCUUAUCGAAAAGGAUUUUGGACAGAAUUUAUGGGCAGAGUCUUUAAGUAUUUGGGAGAUAAGGGUGUAAGAGAACAUGAAAUGAGAAGAGCAGUGACAUCAUUGCCUUUCACUCCAGGGAUGGUGGAACUCUUCAACUUUAUAAGAAAGAAUAAGGAUAAAUUUGACUGCAUUAUUAUUUCAGAUUCAAAUUCGGUCUUCAUAGAUUGGGUUUUAGAAGCUGCCAGUUUUCAUGACAUAUUUGAUAAAGUGUUUACAAAUCCAGCAGCUUUUAAUAGCAAUGGUCAUCUCACUGUUGAAAAUUAUCAUGCUCAUUCUUGCAAUAGAUGCCCAAAGAAUCUUUGCAAAAAGGUAGUUUUGAUAGAAUUUGUAGAUAAACAGUUACAACAGGGAGUGAAUUAUACACAAAUUGUUUAUAUUGGUGAUGGUGGAAAUGAUGUCUGUCCAGUCACCUUUUUAAAGAAUGAUGAUGUUGCCAUGCCACGGAAAGGAUAUACCUUACAGAAAACUCUUUCCAGAAUGUCUCAAAAUCUUGAGCCUAUGGAAUAUUCUGUUGUAGUUUGGUCCUCAGGUGUUGAUAUAAUUUCUCAUUUACAAUUUCUAAUAAAGGAUUAAUAUGUCA